rnacentral:rRNA from 1 species
UACACAUGCAGUCGAACGAUGAAGCUGGAGCUUGCUCCAGUGGAUUAGUGGCGAACGGGUGAGUAACACGUGAGCAAUCUGCCCUUGACUCUGGGAUAACUGCGGGAAACUGUAGCUAAUACCGGAUACGACACCUUGGGGCAUCCCGAGGUGUGGAAAGAAUUUCGGUCAAGGAUGAGCUCGCGGCCUAUCAGCUAGUUGGUGAGGUAAUGGCUCACCAAGGCGACGACGGGUAGCCGGCCUGAGAGGGUGACCGGCCACACUGGAACUGAGAUACGGUCCAGACUCCUACGGGAGGCAGCAGUGGGGAAUAUUGCACAAUGGGCGCAAGCCUGAUGCAGCAACGCCGCGUGAGGGAUGAAGGCCUUCGGGUUGUAAACCUCUUUUAGCAGGGAAGAAGCGAAAGUGACGGUACCUGCAGAAAAAGCACCGGCUAACUACGUGCCAGCAGCCGCGGUAAUACGUAGGGUGCAAGCGUUGUCCGGAAUUAUUGGGCGUAAAGAGCUCGUAGGCGGUUUGUCGCGUCUGCUGUGAAAAUCCAAGGCUCAACCUUGGACCUGCAGUGGGUACGGGCAGACUAGAGUGCGGUAGGGGAGAUGGGAAUUCCUGGUGUAGCGGUGGAAUGCGCAGAUAUCAGGAGGAACACCAAUGGCGAAGGCACAUCUCUGGGCCGUAACUGACGCUGAGGAGCGAAAGCGUGGGGAGCGAACAGGAUUAGAUACCCUGGUAGUCCACGCCGUAAACGGUGGGUGCUAGUUGUGGGCCACAUUCCACGUGGUCCGUGACGAAGUUAACACAUUAAGCACCCCGCCUGGGGAGUACGGUCGCAAGACUAAAACUCAAAGGAAUUGACGGGGGCCCGCACAAGCGGCGGAGCAUGCGGAUUAAUUCGAUGUCACGCGAAGAACCUUACCAAGGCUUGAAAUAUAGAGGAAACGUGCAGAAAUGUACGCCCCCGCAGGUCUCUAUACAGGUGGUGCAUGGUUGUCGUCAGCUCGUGU